UGAGUAACGCGUGAGCAACCUGCCCGUUACAGGGGAUAACACAGCGAAAGUUGUACUAUACCGCAUAAGACCACGGGAGGACAUCCUUCAGGGGUCAAAGGAGGAAUCCGGUAAGGGUGGGCUCGCGUCCGAUUAGAUAGUUGGUGAGGUAACGGCCCACCAAGUCGACGAUCGGUAGCCGACCUGAGAGGGUGAUCGGCCACAUUGGGACUGAGACACGGCCCAAACUCCUACGGGAGGCAGCAGUGGGGAAUAUUGGGCAAUGGGGGGAAACCCUGACCCAGCAACGCCGCGUGAGGGAAGAAGGUUUUCGGAUCGUAAACCUCUGUCCUUGGUGAAGAGGAAGAGACGGUAGCCAAGGAGGAAGCCCCGGCUAACUACGUGCCAGCAGCCGC
rnacentral:rRNA from 1 species